rnacentral:tRNA from 1 species
GGGCAUGGUAUAAUGGUAGCACGAAAGCUUCCCAAGCUUUAGACGAGGGUUCGAUUCCCUUUGCCCGC